CUACGUAGGGGGCGAGCGUUGUCCGGAAUGAUUGGGCGUAAAGGGCGCGUAGGCGGCCCGGUAAGUCUGGAGUGAAAGUCCUGUUUUUAAGAUGGGAAUUGCUUUGGAUACUGUCGGGCUUGAGUGCAGGAGAGGUAAGUGGAAUUCCCAGUGUAGCGGUGAAAUGCGUAGAGAUUGGGAGGAACACCAGUGGCGAAGGCGACUUACUGGACUGUAACUGACGCUGAGGCGCGAAAGUGUGGGGAGCAAACAGGAUUAGAUACCCUGGUAGUCCACACUGUAAACGAUGAAUACUAGGUGUAGGGGGUAUCGACCCCUUCUGUGCCGCAGUCAACACAAUAAGCAUUCCGCCUGGGGAGUACGGCCGCAAGGUUGAAACUCAAAGGAAUUGACGGGG
rnacentral:rRNA from 1 species